GACGAACGCUGGCGGCGUGCUUAACACAUGCAAGUCGAACGGGAAGGCCCUUCGGGGUACACGAGUGGCGAACGGGUGAGUAACACGUGGGUGAUCUGCCCUGCACUUCGGGAUAAGCCUGGGAAACUGGGUCUAAUACCGGAUAGGACCACUGCCUGCAUGGGUGGUGGUGGAAAGCUUUUGCGGUGUGGGAUGGGCCCGCGGCCUAUCAGCUUGUUGGUGGGGUGAUGGCCUACCAAGGCGACGACGGGUAGCCGGCCUGAGAGGGUGACCGGCCACACUGGGACUGGGAUACGGCCCAGACUCCUACGGGAGGCAGCAGUGGGGAAUAUUGCACAAUGGGCGCAAGCCUGAUGCAGCGACGCCGCGUGAGGGAUGACGGCCUUCGGGUUGUAAACCUCUUUCAGCACCGACGAAGCGCAAGUGACGGUAGGUGCAGAAGAAGGACCGGCCAACUACGUGCCAGCCGCCGCGGUAA
rnacentral:rRNA from 1 species